CCAACAACUAUGUGGUCUGUAAUAGUGGUCGAGGCAAGUUCCAACAACCCGAGAUCUAGGUGUCGGUAAGGCGGCAACGUGAGAAGGAGGUCGCUGCUAUGACUCAUACAGUGGCAGGGGAUGAGGAUGAUUAUAGAUCUACUCCUUGGAAAGAUGAAGUAACCAGGACCACACGUGUUGAGGAAUUUUGUUUCAUCACAUAUACUACUUACACAAAAUCAGAGGUUCUGAAAAUGGAAAGUCAAGUUCUGAACAUUUUGAAUUUUCACCCUUCACCACCAACAUCAGAAG